rnacentral:rRNA from 1 species
AGGCUGCAACUCGCCUGCAUGAAGUUGGAAUUGCUAGUAAUCGCGAAUCAGAAUGUCGCGGUGAAUACGUUCCCGGGCCUUGUACACACCGCCCGUCACACCAUGAGAGUCGAUAACACCCGAAGCCUGUGAGCUAACCGCAAGGGGGGCAGCAGUCGAAGGUGGGGUUNAUGAUUGGGGUGAAGUCGUAACAAGGUAAC